rnacentral:miRNA from 1 species
CAAUGUGAUCUUUUGGAUGUA